rfam:Picea glauca, whole genome shotgun sequence.
AAAAAGGAUCCAUUUGGAUCCAACCAAAAGUAGCAUUGGAUUCUAA